GUCUAUGGCCAUACCACCCUGAACGUGCCUGAUCUCGUCUGAUCUCAGAAGCUUAGCAGGCUCAGGCCUGGUUAGUACUUGGAUGGAAGAAAGAUCUUCAGAAGAGACAGCUCAGAGACAAGCAGUUUGAAGACA
rnacentral:rRNA from 1 species